rnacentral:rRNA from 1 species
GUGGUACUAAGCGUACGACAAGUAGGGCGGGACACGAGAAAUCCUGUCUGAACAUGGGGGGACCAUCCUCCAAGGCUAAAUACUCGUAAUCGACCGAUAGUGAACCAGUACCGUGAGGGAAAGGCGAAAAGAACCCCGGGAGGGGAGUGAAAUAGAUCCUGAAACCGUGUGCAUACAAACAGUCGGAGCCUCUUCGUGGGGUGACGGCGUACCUUUUGUAUAAUGGGUCAGCGACUUACAUUCAGUGGCAAGGUUAACCAGAUUGGGGAGCCGUAGAGAAAUCGAGUCCGAACAGGGCGCCAGUCGCUGGGUGUAGACCCGAAACCAAGUGAUCUAUCCAUGGCCAGGUUGAAGGUGCGGUAACACGCACUGGAGGACCGAACCCACUAAUGUUGAAAAAUUAGGGGAUGAGCUGUGGAUAGGGGUGAAAGGCUAAACAAACUUGGAAAUAGCUGGUUCUCUCCGAAAACUAUUUAGGUAGUGCCUCAAGUAUCACCAUCGGGGGUAGAGCACUGUUAUGGCUAGGGGGUCAUCGCGACUUACCAAACCAUUGCAAACUCCGAAUACCGAUGAGUGCGAGCUUGGGAGACAGACGUCGGGUGCUAACGUCCGGCGUCAAGAGGGAAACAACCCAGACCGCCAGCUAAGGUCCCAAAGAUUGGCUAAGUGGAAAACGAAGUGGGAAGGCUAAAACAGUCAGGAUGUUGGCUUAGAAGCAGCCAUCAUUUAAAGAAAGCGUAAUAGCUCACUGAUCGAGUCGUCCUGCGCGGAAGAUGUAACGGGGCUAAGCCAGUCACCGAAGCUGCGGAUAU